rfam:Pseudomonas stutzeri A1501, complete genome.
GGCACGCUAGAUGCUUUGUUCUGGCACGCAGGCCAACGGCGGUCUGCCCAUACGACAAAGGCGUCGC